rnacentral:rRNA from 1 species
GGCGGACGGGUGAGUAACGCGUAAAGAACUUGCCCUUUAGACUGGGAUAACAGAGGGAAACUUCUGAUAAUACUGGAUAAGUUAGUAUAUCGCAUGAUAUGCAAAUGAAAGCUACGGCACUAAAGGAGAGCUUUGCGUCCUAUUAGCUAGUUGGUAAGGUAAGAGCUUACCAGGGCGAUGAUAGGUAGCCGGCCUGAGAGGGUGGACGGCCACAAGGGGACUGAGAUACGGCCCUUACUCCUACGGGAGGCAGCAGAA